GACAGCAGCCGCCGCGGUAAUACGGAGGGGGCUAGCGUUGUUCGGAAUUACUGGGCGUAAAGCGCACGUAGGCGGCUUGGUAAGUUAGAGGUGAAAGCCCGGAGCUCAACUCCGGAAUUGCCUUUAAGACUGCCGAGCUAGUAGGUGAGAGAGGUAAGUGGAAUUCCGAGUGUAGAGGUGAAAUUCGUAGAUAUUCGGAAGAACACCAGUGGCGAAGGCGGCUUACUGGCUCAUUCUAGACGCUGAGGUGCGAAAGCGUGGGGAGCAAACAGGAUUAGAUACCCGAGUAGUCCCUGUCUCUUAUAA
rnacentral:rRNA from 1 species